UACGUAGGGUGCGAGCGUUAAUCGGAUUACUGGGCGUAAAGCGUGCGCAGGCGGUUCGUUGUGUCGGCGGUGAAAGCCCCGGGCUCAACCUGGGAAUGGCCGUUGAAACUGGCGAACUGGAGUAUGGCAGAGGGGGGUGGAAUUCCGCGUGUAGCAGUGAAAUGCGUAGAGAUGCGAGGAACACCGAUGGCGAAGGCAGCCCCCUGGGCUGACACUGACGCUCAGGCACGAAAGCGUGGGGAGCAAACAGG
rnacentral:rRNA from 1 species